rnacentral:rRNA from 1 species
GACGAACGCUGGCGGCGUGCUUAACACAUGCAAGUCGAACGGUGAAAGCGGAGCUUGCUCCGCUGGAUCAGUGGCGAACGGGUGAGUAACACGUGGGCAACCUGCCCCUCACUUCGGGAUAACUCCGGGAAACCGGGGCUAAUACCGGAUAUGACCUCCUUGGGCAUCCUUGGAGGUGGAAAGUUUUUCGGUGAGGGAUGGGCCCGCGGCCUAUCAGCUUGUUGGUGAGGUAGUGGCUCACCAAGGCGACGACGGGUAGCCGGCCUGAGAGGGCGACCGGCCACACUGGGACUGAGACACGGCCCAGACUCCUACGGGAGGCAGCAGUGGGGAAUAUUGCGCAAUGGGCGAAAGCCUGACGCAGCAACGCCGCGUGCGGGAUGACGGCCUUCGGGUUGUAAACCUCUUUCAGCUAUGACGAAGCGCAAGUGACGGUAGUAGCAGAAGAAGGACCGGCCAACUACGUGCCAGCCGCCGCAGUAA